rnacentral:rRNA from 1 species
AUUGAACGCUAGCGGGAUGCCUUACACAUGCAAGUCGAACGGAGUGGCGAACGGGUGAGUAAUGUAUCGGAACGUGCCCAGUAGCGGGGGAUAACUACGCGAAAGCGUAGCUAAUACCGCAUACUAUUGGAGCGGCCGAUAUCGGAUUAGCUGGUUGGGGGGGUAACGGCGCACCAAGGCGACGCUCCUUAGCUGGUUUGAGAGGACGACCAGCCACACGCUGACGGAGACACGGCCCAGGAUCCUACGGUAGGGAGCAGUGGGGAAUGUUGGGCAAUGGGGGAAACCCUGAUCCAGCCAUCCCGCGUGUGCGAUGAAGUCCUUCGGGUUUUAAAGCACUUUUGGCAGGAAAGCGGUACCUGCAGAAUAAGCACCGGCUAACUACGUGCCAGCCGCCGCGGUAAUAC